CCAGCCGACCCACCGGAGACCUCCCCUCCCACACCAGGGAAAAUGCCUCUUUGGCUCCAUUUCGUGUUCGUUGCAGCAGCUUUGGGAGGUGUCCGGUCACAAGUCCAGCUGCUGGAGUCCGGCGGGGAUGUGAAAAAGCCUGGAGACUCCCUCAGACUGACCUGUACCACCUCAGGGUUCAACAUAGACAGCUACUGGAUGAGCUGGGUGUGCCAGGCUUCUGGGCAGGGGCUGGAGUGGGUAUCAGCAAUUAGUGGAGCAACUACGCAUUACGGAGAUUCCGUGAAAAGGCGAUUCAACACCUCUACAGACAGCUCCAAGAAGCUGAUCUACCUGCAAAUGACCGACCUGAAGCCCGAGGACACCGCCCGGUAUCGCUGUGCGAGAGACACGAGCCGAGUCACCAUCUCCGCAGACACCGCCAAGAACCAGUUCUCGCUGCAGCUCCGCUCGCUGACAGCUGCAGACACCGGCACCUAUUACUGA